GCCUUCAUGGUGUAGUGGUCAGCACACUCAAUGCGAAACCGAGAGGUCCGUGGUUCGAUUCUCUGUGAAGGCG
rnacentral:tRNA from 1 species